UCUUACCCCCAUACCACCUUGAAUGCACCUGAUCUAAUCUGAACUAGGAAGCUAAGCAGGGUUGGGCCUGGUUAGUACUUGGAUGGGAGACAUCUUCAGAGGAGACUGCUCAGAGACAAAC
ensembl:rRNA 5S_rRNA 5S ribosomal RNA